CUGAGCACCCAGCUCCUGCCGCUCUCCCUCUCGUGCCCUCAGGUCUGUAGAACUCUACCUUCAGGUGCUGAAGGAAACCACCAAAUGGAGGAAAAGAAAUGAGGUGGCCCCUCACAGCACCCCUGGGGGUCACUGCCAGGACCCAGCUGCCCAGAAGAUGUGACUGAAACUCAGUCCAGACACCUGGGAAGGAAAGGGACAUGGACACCUUGGGAGUGGACCAGCUCACCCCCCACCUCAACCCAGAAAAGCCUUGUUACCCCCUAGCCUGUGACCCUCAGUGGCAACCCUUUUCUUGGGACCUGCUCUUGUUACACAGGAGUGCUGCUAAAUUCCUUCUCUUAAGCUCUCACCUAUGAACCCACAAUAAACUUUAUAAAAAUU